rnacentral:tRNA from 1 species
GCCUGGGUGGCUCAGUUGGUUAAGCAUCUGGCUUCAGCUCAGGUCAUGGUUUCAUGGUUCGUGAGUUCGAGCCCCACAUUGGGCU